UAACAGGUAUCCAGUGCCAUCUAAUUAUCGAUAAUUCAUAUGCGUUUCUGCAGAAGUUCUAGGGCGGGCUCUAGUAAUUACAAGGAACGGAACUUGUUUCCGCUUUAAAUACACAGCCACGUGACAAUGAAUAAUAUAUAGCUAAAGUGAAAAAUAAUGAGAAGCUGAAUUGUCCCAAGUGUAUUAAUAAUUUUCAAGUAUCGACAGAAUGCUCCGCACAGUCUUUUGGACAACAAGCAGUGUGUGUCUCAAUAGCAAUGUAAAACAGACAACAAUUUCCACACAUUGUAAAAAGCGAUCCCGGAUUAAUGGACUUUCAAAACACGAAUCUCUUUAACGUUCGGCUAAACUUGCUUUCGGGCAAUCUGUUACCAAUGACCGACAAGUCAGACAAAUCCUCAUUUUCACUAUUCUGGAAAGUAUAUUGUGCUUUCGUGUGGUUACUGGAAUUAGUUUAUAUGAUCUCAUUAAUUCUUGCCUACUUCUUAGCACCGAACGAGGCAACAUUAAGCGAUAGCUUUGAUGGAUUAUUCGUUAUAGAAGAAGUUGGUUUUGUAAUCGAUUACUCACGAAUUCUUACACAGAAAACACUGGUACAAAAACUAAUACGAAACCUGAACAAGGCUCUAAGUAUUAAAGAUGAGAAUAUGCGACGUAUCGUAACAACGAAUCUAAAAUCAAUUAAAAAUCCAUUCAUAUAUUACUUAGUGACUGGUACAGGUUCUCUUAUCUUCUGGUGUUGUACGACGCUCCCGUUAAUUCUUGAAAGAAACACUUUUUACCACGCAGAUUACAAUACACCAGCUGUUUUUUACAAAGAACCAUUUUCUCUCGGCGUUUUCUUGCUAGGCAAUAUGAUGAUAAUGGUGUGCAACAUAUACCUUUUUUUAAAGGUAAUCAGCGUGGAUGUAUACACAGCACAUUUGAUAUCAUUAAUAACGGCGCAAUAUCAAUAUAUUUCUUCAAGACUUGUAUUGAUAUUUCAAAAUAAUAAACAUCCGAAUAACAGAAGUUCUCGAGAAGGUAAUUCUGAAGUGGAUUCUUUUACAGCGACAGAAAUAAAAAAUUUAUGUCGUCAACAUGUCAAUGUUAUGCAGUAAGUAUAUUUUUUAGCACUAUUUACUGAGAUUGCAAAAAAUUUUGAUUUGUUGUAUAUUAUAGUACAAUAUAAAAUUUUAUUCAGCCAAGUAUUCGAGAUAAUAAAGCACCUCAGCAAAAUUUUAAUAAAAUUGAGCAGAUCUAUGAUUGCUUAUCAUUCACAAUGGCAAGUUGCCGACAUUAUAAGCAACCACAGAUUUACGCGAUUUUGAAACACACUUUGUUAUUUGAGAUGAUAUUCUAUAAUAUAAUAUGUAUUAAAAUGUUAAUUAAGUUUUGUAUAAUAUUAUGGAUGUAGAUACAAUCUAUUUCAGCAUAACGUUAAUGUUGAAGAAAUUGAUAUCUGUAAAUAUCUUUCUUAUAUAUUUAAUUAACGUUUUCCGAUUUUGUUUUAUUGGUCUCAUUGCAACUACAGUGAGUAACAAUUUAUAAAAUUUGCGCAAUUAUUUUAUAUAAGUAGCACAUAGUUCUAUUAAAUUACUUUAAAUUAUUGUUAUAAUACAGCAGCAAUAUUUGUUUAUGAAAUCUAGAUGUCAGAGUCUUACUUAAAAAUAUGUUUUGUGUUUUUGUACGCAUCUGGUUCAGCAACACAAUUCUACGUAUUGUGUGCUUGUUUCCAGAGAUUAUCGGAAUCAGUAAGAUUUGUCAUAUGUCAUUACUGUUAGAAGUAAAAGUUUAUUAAUUACUUGUCGAAAGUAUCUUUUUCUAAUAACCGUACUUAAAUAUUUGUACAUAAAUAAAACAGCUGUUUAUUUUUCUAAGAGUUCAGAAAUAACAAAUGAAGCAUUUCACGAAAAUUGGAAUCAAUUGAAUUUGUCCGUAAAACGUACAUUUUUAUUGAUGAUGAUGGCUAGUAAUAAUAUAGAGAUUAAACUUUCAUUAUUCGAUAGAUUCAACUUGUCUUUACCUUCAUUCAUGUCGGUUCUAAACCAGGCAUAUUCUGUCGCUCUUCUGAUAUUAAGAAUGAGUUAAAGAACAACGAAUGUAUAUAUUUCAUUAUUAACAUAUGGUAAAGUAACUUUAAUGUUAUCAAUACAAAAAACUCUUUCAUUUUUAGAAUGAUAAAUUGUAUAAAGAUUCACAAAAAAAAUUAAAACAAAGAAAAAGGGACCUAAGUCAGGGUAGAAAUUGAUGUGUAACUAUUUAAUUAAAUAUCAAAGUAUAAUUAGUAUAUAAGUAGUCAAUAUAUAAUUAAAAAUUUCAACAAUAUGACCAUACCUAUUUCUUCUUGUUUCGACUUACUUUUAAGUCAUUCUGAACAGUAUCGCAUAUUAUGAGCUUGUUUUUUUCUGUUUUAUUAAAAUAUUUCAAUAUGUAUAGAAAUGUUCAGAACCGAGUUAUAGAGUUAUUUAACACCAGGAAUAAAAAUGAACAAUCAAGCUGUCUCUGAAAAUGUUUCAAGAAAAAUAUUUUUAAAUGUCUUUUUUAAAAAAAUUUGGUAAAUAAAAAUAUUAAGAUGAAAGACCAUAGUUUCUUGCUCAAAGACGCAUCAGAAACAGUCCUGCUUCUUUCCAACUGUGAUUUAUGUAAUACUUUAUUAAUGCUUUAAACUAUUCUAAAAUAUUUUUUAUUAAUAAUUUUCAAAUAAUAUUUUAUAUUUUAAAUUAAUCACAGUUAAUUACGUUUUUGUUAUUACAAAUUAAUUAACAGCAGUAACAUAUGUUACUGUUGAUUUCAUAAAUAGUGAAGUUUUUAUUAAUACAAAUAAAAUGUAAAAUUUAAUACAGCUUUUAACACAAGCUUACUGGGAUAAAUUUUAUUUUCUUAGAGUGGCUUUUGCUUCACUAAAAAUAAUAUCGCAAUUUAUAACGUAUUUACAAUGUAUAUCCUUAUAUCCUAUAUCUUAAAACAGAACAUAUUAUGACAUAACAACAAAUAUCGAUCAAUUUAAAAUAACAACUUACAUUAAGGAUCGGCUGAUGAAGAUAGAAUUAUCUUGCAUAGACUGGCAUAUCGAAGUACUUUAUGCGGGUCAAGCAACAUCACAUUGUGCGCGCGUUUUAGAUUUUGUGGUAUUGUGAGCAGGUGCAAACAUUCUUGCUAGACAAUAUAAAAUAAGAUAAUUGUUGCUUUAUAGCGCAUUGAUGAUUAAAAGUAAGCACAUAAUCGCAUUCGUACAGUGAAGAUAGAGAAAAAGAUAUUUUUUCAUUCUAAUUCUUCUAUAAAUCGCCAUUCAUUACAGUGACAUUUCUUUGUAAAUUCUUUUACAUUAGCUAUAUGGGAAAGACAACUUUUUUCUAAUUUAACAGCUACCCAACGCCAUGUAAUUAUCAAUAAUUUAUAUGCGUUUCCACAGAAGUUGUAGGACAAGCUCUAGUAAUUACCAGGAACGAAACUUUUCGCUUUAAAUACACUGCCACGUGACAAUGAAUAAUAUAUCGAUAAAAGUAAGAACUAAUGAGAGGCUAAAUUGUCCCAAGUAUAUUAAUAAUUUUCAAGUAUCGACAGAAAUGCUCCGCGCAGUCUUUUGGACUACAAGCAGUAUGUUCCUCAACAGCAAUGUAAAACAAAGAACAAUUUCCACACAUUGUAAAGAGCGAUACCGGAUUAAUGGACUUUCAAAACACGAAUCUCUUUAACGUUCGGCUAAACUUGCUUUCGGGCAAUUUGUUACCAAUGACCGACAAGUCAGACAAAUUCUCAUUUUCACUAUUCUGGAAAGUAUAUUGUGCUUUCGUGUGGUUACUGGAAUUAGUUUAUAUGAUCUCAUUAAUUCUUGCCUACUUCUUAGUACCGAACAAGAUAGCAUUAAGCGAUGGCUUUGAUGGAUUAUUCGUUAUAGAAGAAGUUGGUUUUGUUAUCGAUUAUUCACGAAUUCUUAUACAGAAAACACUGGUACAACAAUUGAUACGAAAACUGAACGAGGCUCUAAGUAUUGAGGAUGAGAACAUGCAACGUAUCGUAACAACAAAUCUAAAGCAGAUUAAAAAUCCAUUCAUAUAUUACUUAGUGACUGGCACAGGUUCUGUUAUCUUUUGGUGUUGUACGACGCUCCCAUUAAUUCUUGAAAGAAACACUUUCUACCACGCAGAUUACAAUGCACCAGCUGUUUUUUCCAAAGAACCAUUUUCUCUCGGCGUUUUCCUGCUAGGCAAUAUGAUGAUAAUGGUGUGCAACACAUACCUUUUUUUAAAGGUAAUCAGCGUGGAUGUAUAUACAGCACAUUUAAUAUCAUUAAUAACGGCGCAAUAUCAAUAUAUUUCUUCAAGACUUGUAUUGAUAUUUCGAAAUAAUAAACAUCCGAAUAACAGAAGUUCUCGAGAAGGUAAUUCUGAAGUGGAUUCUUUCACAACGAAAGAAAUAAAAAAUUUAUGUCGCCAACAUGUCAAUGUUAUGCAGUAAGUAUAUUUUUUAGCACUAUUUACUAAGAUUGCAAAAAUUUUGAUUUGUCGUAUAUAAUACAAUAAUAUAAAAUUUUAUUUAUCUAAGUAUCCCAGAUAAUAAAGCGUCUCAGCAAAAUUUUUAAUAAAAUUAAGCAGAUCUAUAAUUGCUUAUUAAUCACAAUUAUACGGCAAGUUGCUAGUAUUAUAAGCAACCAUAAAUUUACGCGAUUUUGAAACAUGCUUUGUUAUUUGAGAUGGUGUUUUAUAAUAUCAUAUGUAUUAAUACAUUAAUUAAAUUUUGUAUGAUAGUAUGGACAUAAAGAUAAAAUUUGUUUCAGCAUAACGUUAAUGUUGAAGAAGUUGAUAUCUGUAAAUAUUUUUUUAAUAUAUUUAAUUAAUGUUUUCCGAUUUUGUUUUAUUGGUCUCAUGGUGAAUAAAGUAAGUAAUAGUUAAUGAAAUUUGUGCUAUUAUUCAAUAUAAAUAGCAAAUAGUGCUAUUAAAUUGGUUUAAAUUAUAGUUAUAAUAUAGCAGCAAUAUUUGUUUAUGAAAUCUAGAUAUCAGAGUCUUACUUAGUAGGAUGCUUUGUGAUUUUGUACGCAUCUGGUUCAGUAACACAAUUCUACGUAUUGUGUGCAUGUUUCCAGAGAUUAUCGGAAGCAGUAAGAUUUGUCAUAUGUUAUUAAUGUUAGAAGUAAAAGUUUAUUAAUUACUUGUCGAGAGAAUCUUUAUCUAAUAACUGUAUUUGAAUAUUUGUACAUAAAUAAAACAGCUGUUUAUUUUUCUAAGAGUUCAGAAAUAACGAAUGAAGCAUUCCACGAAGAUUGGAAUCAAUUCAGUUCAUCUAUAAAACGUACAUUUUUAUUGAUAACAUUGGCUAGUAAUAAUAUAAAGGUUAAACUUUCAUUAUUCGAAAGAUUCAACUUGUCUUUACCUUCAUUCAUGUCGGUAAGAUAUAUGUUUUAUAUAGUCAAUACUUUUAGUAUUCAGUAUUUUAAGAAUAAAAGGUAUAUUUUUAUAUAAUUUUUAAUUUUUUUUAGAUUUUAAAUAAAGCAUAUUCUAUUGCCGUUCUGAUAUUAGAACUUAGUUGAAGAAUGAUGAAUGCAUAUAUUUUGUUGGUAAAAUAUGGUAAUGUAAUUGUACUGUUAUUAUUACGGAAAACUAUAAGCUUUUAUUCAAAUUUAUUAAUUUUAUUCUUUUAUAAAAAAUAUAGUAAAAAAAUAGUUGUUAAUAAUUAAUUAAUAUAUUAUAUAUCACUUUUUAAAAAAAGUAAUGUAAUUACGACCUUAAUGUAUAUUUAGGUAUCAAUUUUAUAAUUUAAAGAAGUCAUCUUUAAUUUGCACGUUAAUUAUUGCAUGAAUUUCUUAUUGCUAAUUAUUUUUGUACUAUUUAAAAAACUAUUAAUAACUAAGAUGGAGUAUAAGUAAAAUAACGGAGAUGUAUGUUCUUACCAUAUAAUAUAGAAUAAAUUAAAAAAUUGAUAUAUUUGUAUA